rnacentral:rRNA from 1 species
CAAGUCGAGCGGCGGCGCGGGGGCAACCCUGGCGGCGAGCGGCGAACGGGUGAGUAAUGCAUCGGAACGUGUCCCGUAGUGGGGGAUAACCCGGCGAAAGCCGGACUAAUACCGCAUAUCCUCUACGGAGGAAAGGGGGGGACCCGCAAGGGCCUCUCGCUAUGGGAGCGGCCGAUGUCCGAUUAGCUUGUUGGUGAGGUAAUGGCUUACCAAGGCGACGAUCGGUAGCUGGUCUGAGAGGAUGAUCAGCCACACUGGGACUGAGACACGGCCCAGACUCCUACGGGAGGCAGCAGUGGGGAAUUUUGGACAAUGGGGGCAACCCUGAUCCAGCCAUGCCGCGUGCGGGAAGAAGGCCUUCGGGUUGUAAACCGCUUUUGUCCGGAAAGAAAAGGCCACUCCUAAUACGGGUGGUUCUUGACGGUACCGGAAGAAUAAGCACCGGCUAACUACGUGCCAGCAGCCGCGGUAAUACGUAGGGUGCGAGCGUUAAUCGGAAUUACUGGGCGUAAAGCGUGCGUAGGCGGUCCGCGAAGUCUGAUGUGAAAGCCCCGGGCUCAACCUGGGAACUGCAUUGGAAACUAACGGGCUCGAGUGUGGCAGAGGGGGGUGGAAUUCCACGUGUAGCAGUGAAAUGCGUAGAGAUGUGGAGGAACACCGAUGGCGAAGGCAGCCCCCUGGGCUAACACUGACGCUCAGGCACGAAAGCGUGGGGAGCAAAUAGGAUUAGAUACCCUGGUAGUCCACGCCCUAAACGAUGUCAACUGGGUGUUGGGGAAGCGAUUCCUCAGUACCGUAG